ACGGCCAUACCACAUUGAAAACACCGGUUCUCGUCUGAUCACCGAAGUUAAGCAAUGUCGGGCCCGGUCAGUACUUGGGAGGGUGACCACCUGGGAACACGGGGUGCUGUGGGCU
rnacentral:rRNA from 1 species